AGUGGAUGGGGAGCAACCUAGUUGUGCGUGUGUAAAGGUAGUGCCAAGAAAAGCGAUGAUCAUGUUGAAAAUCAAUUCCCGGUACCCGAAACCGACACAGGUGGGCAAGUAGAGAAUACUAAGGGGCGCGAGGUAACUCUCUCCAAGGAACUCGGCAAAAUGACCCCGUAACUUAGGGAGAAGGGGUGCCACCGAGAGGUGGUCGCAGUGAAGAGGCCCAGGCGACUGUUUAGCAAAAACAUAGGUCUCUGCAAACUCGAAAGAGGAGGUAUAGGGGCUGACGCCUGCCCAGUGCCGGAAGGUUAAAGAAGUUGGUCAGUUUUAGGAAGAAGCUAGCGACUGAAGCCCCGGUGAACGGCGGCCGUAACUAUAACGGUCCUAAGGUAGCGAAAUUCCUUGUCGGGUAAGUUCCGACCCGCACGAAAGGCGUAACGAUCUGGGCGCUGUCUCGGAGAGAGGCUCGGCGAAAUAGGAUUGUCUGUGAAGAUACGGACUACCUGCAUUUGGACAGAAAGACCCUAUGAAGCUUUACUAUAGCUUGGAAUUGUGUUCGGGCUUCCUGUGCGCAGGAUAGGUGGGAGGCGUAGAAGGUAUUCUUGUGGGGAUACUGGAGCCAACGGUGAGAUACCACUCUCAGGAGGCUAGAAUUCUAACUUAAUUAAGGACAGUUUCAGGUGGGUAGUUUGACUGGGGCGGUCGCCUCCAAAAAGGUAACGGAGGCGUACAAAGGUUCCCUCAGACUGGUUGGAAAUCAGUCGAAGAGUGCAAAGGCAGAAGGGAGCUUGACUGCGAGAAGUACAGUUCGAGCAGGGUGGAAACACGGUCUUAGUGAUCCGACGGUGCUGUGUGGAAGGGCCGUCGCUCAACGGAUAAAAGUUACUCUAGGAUAACAGGCUGAUCUCCCCCAAGAGUUCACAUCGACGGGGAGGUUUGGCACCUCGAUGUCGGCUCAUCGCAACCUGGGGCGGAAGUACGUCCCAAGGGUAGGGCUGUUCGCCCAUUAAAGCGGUACGUGAGCUGGGUUCAGAACGUCGUGAGACUGUUCGGUCCAUAUCCGAUGUAGGCGUGAGAAUAUUGAGAGGAGCCUUCCUUAGUACGAGAGGACCGGGAAGGACGCACCGCUGGUGUACCUGUUAUGAUGCCAAUUGUAAACGCAGGGUAGCCAAGUGCGGAGAGGAUAACCGCUGAAAGCAUCUAAGUGGGAAGCCCACCUCAAGAUGAGUAUUCUGGUGUAAGGUCACGGGAAGACGACCCGUAAAUAGGCACGAGGUGGAAGUGCAGAGAUGUAUGAAGCCGAAGUGUACUAAUAGACCGUCGGCUUG
rnacentral:rRNA from 1 species